AGUCCGUGUUGCAGACGCUAUCGUUACUUCCCUCGCGAACACUAGCUUUCGGUAGAACAAUGUCGAAGGUACGAGGGAAACACAGUAGUUGCUUUGUUGUUGGCUGCACAAACCAACACAGAAGUCUUUUUUUAACCCCUACGCCCGAGGAUCUGAAGACCCAGUGGAUUCAUUUUAUUUUUGAUGGAAAUGUACCCGCUCCAACUCCGAAAGUGUUGUACGUGUGUGCUAACCAUUUCACCUCGGACUGCUUUCUCAACGAGGGCCAGUACAAUGCAGGAUUUGCUACAAGUCUCAAGAUAAAGCUUGGAUCAGUACCGACUGUCUGUGACCCAACUUUGAACUUGGGAGCUGCCAGCAUAUCAAGUGCAUCUAUACAGCUUUCUGCAACAAGGGAUGUUGCAUGCCAGACUGACCCACUGUAGGCACACAGUUAUCCUUGAAGACUCUUCAGCCUCACAUCAGAAGCACAGACUCUACCUGGCUGCCACGUACUACAAUGAAAAUGCUGACCGACCACAAGCCCAAAUAAAAGUAGUUGAACCACUUUUCAAGGUCCAAUUUCCAAAGGCCAUGAAGGGAGAAUGCAGAGCUAAACCAGUUAAGACUGAGCCGACAUUCUAUAAGUGUUAUAUUAUUUUAUUUUUCAACCAAAAAAUGUUUUGUACACAUUGUAUUAAGUAUUGCACAUAUAAUGUUAUGACCGUUCCAUCAACAACAAAAUACAGUAAAGAAAAUGUCAGGAGGUAGUUAGAAACAGACUUUCAGUCAUUGUUUUGUAAAAAAAAAAAAAAAAAACAAAACGACAAAAAAGUGAAAAAUGUAACAAAAUCUUAUGUGUUUUAUUAAACAGGGAAUGUGGUGGACCUCAUAUUUGAAAAAGUCUUUGUUGACCUGGGACCAUACACAGAAGCUGCUUUGGCCAUCCCCAUCCCAGAGGACCUCACUGCACAGUUCGAGCGGCCUGAGAAGGAGGAGGUCAUAUCCAGCUCUGUGUCCCGGUUCUAUCAUGGGCCAGUCUAAAACCCACGUACUGGCAUGUGGCGUCAGGAAACACGGCAUGGAUGUGUAGGACCACGCAGGCUGGAAUGACGAACCAGAUUCUGCGACCAAGGAAGCCCCAGCACCAGCUCACAAAGCUCCUAUAGGCUAGAUACCUGUACUGACUAAAACAACUGGACAGGGCAUUUAGUCUUGCAAACAUAUAUCUAUGUUGUGUCUCAUUAUUUUUUAUAUGGAUCCAGUGAAUCCUACAGCUUUUUUACUAUCACUGAUUAUAAGUCCCUCAUUUGAUGUAAAUAAAUGCUUGAUUGUUACUAAAGAAAUGACUCCUCUGAAUUCAUAUAUUAUAUGCACACUAUCUGCUGAUAGAAGAACUUU